GACAUAGGUGACAAGCGUUGUCCGGAUUUACUGGGCGUAAAGAGCGCGCAGGCGGUCGAUCAAGUCGAGUGUGAAAGCCCCCGGCUCAACUGGGGAGGGUCAUUCGAUACUGAUCGACUCGAAGGCAGGAGAGGGUAGUGGAAUUCCCGGUGUAGUGGUGAAAUGCGUAGAUAUCGGGAGGAACACCAGUGGCGAAGGCGACUACCUGGCCUGUUCUUGACGCUGAGGCGCGAAAGCUAGGGGAGCAAACGGG
rnacentral:rRNA from 1 species